AGGUGACGUCACUACCGCGUGAGGGUCUCGCCUCCUUACAGCCCCGCUGGCUAGGCGGGAAGAGCGUAUCUUGGUGAAGGUAACCCGCCAGCCCGCAGGGACUGAGCUCUGUACUCGGGCUCACAGCCCAGAUAGUCACCUAUUCCUCACCAAUCCCGAAGGACUGGGGUGGAGUUGGGGGGAAUGCCCUUCGGCGUCCGAAACUACAAGUCCCACAAUACUCUAAUGUCACGCCAUUCCUGUUGGAGUUCUCGGUGUCCAGGUAGCGCCUCCGCAGCCGGUUGGCCUGCCAGCCCAGGAGCACUCCAGAAGCGAAGGCAACCAGCACUGACAGCUGCAGUGUCCUCUCUGACACAUCCGCCAUCGCUGCUCCGGGCGUGCAGCGCUGCCUACGGCGGGACGGCGGGGUCAAAAAGCGCAACGCGGUCAGGGGCGGGGCGCGGAGCCUGCGUGCCAGGCACGUCCAGCUGCGCCUCAUUGGACGCACAAAUUCGUCAGACUCGCCUUCCACGGAAAGCUUGGCUGGUCUUGGAAGCCUCCGUCUUUCCCUCAUCGGAGGCCCCACAAUUUUAUUGUUUGACGUUCCAUCAGAUGCUGCCUUGCAUUAUUAGCUAACUUCGGUGGUGCGUCAGCUCAUCCUCUUUGUAUUUUCUCUCAGCAGUAGUAUUCCAGCCAAGUGUGUGACUUUAAAUUUUCUGGCAACCUAUUAAAAAAAAAAAAAAAAAGACACAGAUGAAUUUACUUUUAAUACUGUAUUUUACUUAUCUCAAUACAUAGAGGAAGUUAUCCUUGCACAUGUAAUCGAUAUAAAAGCUAUUAAUGAGGUGAGUUUUUAAAUACUAAGUCUUUGAAAUCUGCUGUAGGUGUUAUAAUUAACAACACAUCUCAGUUUGAACACUAAAUUUUCAGUGGAGAUACUUAACCAGUAUCUAGAUUUCAUAAAAUUUAGUUGAAAGAUUAGACUCUUAGACCCUCUUUGUUCCAAACGCAUGGAAAAUUUCUCUGAUAACUGAGUUGAGUAUCAGUUUUCAAAUUAAAUUUAAAUUCAUUAAAAUGUUUUUAUAAUUUAAGUAACCAGUGCCUCAGCCAUGCUAGUCACAUAUGUGACAGCAAAGCCUAGAGGGCUACACUAUUCCAGAACUGAAACUGGGUCAGAGUUGUUGGGAUAGAGGGAAGACAAAUUCUAAUGAUGAAAACCAAUUCUGGUGGUCACAUUCUAAGGUGAUCUCCAAGGAUUUCCACCUCCUGAAGUUCAUACCUUUGUGUAAGUCCUUCCCCUUGAGUAAGGGCUGGAUCUGUGACUUGCUGGGAUGUUACUCUUGUGAUUCAUUUAUGUUAUCUAAAACUUCUCAACAGACUUAAGACUCUCCUUAUGGGCUUGAUGAAGUAAGCAAAGGUGUUGGAGAAGCUCAUGUAGCAAAGAACUACAGGUGCCUCUAGGAACAGUGACAUGCCUCCUCCCGCCAACAGCCAGCAAAAAGUCCUCAGUCAUUCUACUGUAAGGAAAUUCAUGUUGCCUGCAAUAUGAAUAAGCUUGGAAGUCCCUUCUUCCCCAGUGCAGCCUCCAGGUGAGAAGACAGCCUGGCUGAUGCCUUGAUUGUAGUCUUGUAAGAACCUAACAGAGGGACUUCCCGUGUGGCUCACAACAUAACUACUCGGCGUUGCUUCUACAGUGGCUGUGGCUCGACCCCUGGCCUGGGAACUUCCAUAUGCCGCAGGUGCGGUCACUUGAAAAAAAAAAAAAAAAAAAAAAAAAAAAAAAAAAAAAAAAAAAAAGAACCUAACAGAGGACCUGUGUGCCUGGACCCCUGGCCUAUUGGAAAGUUGAGAUUAUAGAUGUAUGUUGUGUUAAUUUGUUACUCAGCAACAGAAACAGAUACAGGCAUGAAAGGGGAACCAGAAUGUGGAGCCUGAACUGUUCUGGAGCAGGGCGCCAGACGUAGCCUCUCUACAGAGUUAGCAAACGAAAUUUCACACUCGAAAUGAAACCUAUCUUCUUACGGGAUGAUACAUACAGUAUUGGGUCCAACAUGAAUUCACUCAAGUCUGUCAUGCUUAAUGAUCAUUUAUUUAGCAAAUAUUUGUUGAAUGCAGCAGUCGGUAUUGGGAAUGUAGAAAUGAAUUUGGCACAACACCUGCCCGCAGACACCUAGUGCAGAGUGAAAAAGAUGGAAAAAACAACUAUGACACAUUCUGAUGAAUUAGAAUAUAUAGAUAAGUAUAUAGUUCAGCCUUUAAAAAAGAAAAGACAAAAACCUUUGGAAACCUUCUCUUUCUCUCACAUUCCACUCAAUCUGUUAGUCAAUCCUAUAAGUUCUGAUGGAAGAAGUUUUCACAUAUUGAGGUAUGGGGAAGUCAUUCGGGCUUAUAUAUGAUAUGCCUUGAACUUUAUGCUAACUAAAACAGCCCACUUUAUGGCCUGUCAAAUAGACAUCAUACAUCUGCUUUAACCAUUAAAGAAAAGAAUGUUACCCACCAUCCAGUUAUACAAAGGGCUAAGUAGCAACCCUACUGUUGUCACCCACGUACAUCCCCCCUCAAAGGAAAUUCAGGAGAAAAAAUAAAAAUAGGAUAGAUCAUCCUGUGAUUUGAAUAGAUGGAACCUAAACAGUUAAGAUGCAUACCUCCAGUGGGGGGAAAAAAAAAAAGAUGCAUACCUCAGGAAGAAUUUUAGUGACCCCAGAUUCUUGCAUCUUCCCAUAUGUAGAAAGGCACUAAAAUCAUUGAGAUAUAGGUUCUUUGUGAUUAGUAGUAACAUUUACCAAGAUGUAUCCUUGACUGCAUGCAUUUUCUAGCCAAAAUUUCAUAUAUAUGGUGACUAACCCUCUCAUUUACAGGAUAUAUAUAUAUAUAUAUAUAUAUAUAUAUACACAUACAUACACAGGCUCCUCCCCUACCUCUUCAGAGCAGUCCCCUCAGAGCUACUGAAAGGCAGUUUCCCAGGCUAUAGUCCUCUGCAUGGCUCGAAUAGAACUCUCUUCUGUUCUUAUUAUAGAUUGUUUGCUGCUUAUUUGCAUCAGCAGUUCCAUUUUCAAAAUAGGACCGGAAUUAAACCUCUUCUCACUUUACUGCUACUAUUGGGUCCAAGCUGCCAUCAUCUCUUACCUGAGAUACUGCAGUAGCCCCUGUCAGGUUUCUCUGCUCCUAUAUCUGUCCUCAACAUUCUGUUCUCAAUACAGCAGCCAGAGGGAGCCUUUGAAACAAGAAGUUGUGUCAUGCAGUGCCUCAGCUCAUACUGCAGUGCCCAAAGCCCCUGUAUGAUCCAUUAGUUCUCCUCUACCCCUUAUGGAUCACUGGCUGGCUCACUAUUUCUCUGCUCGUCAUUUCUUGACCUCACUGGGCAUGGUGUUACCUAAGAACAUUUGCGUGUGCAGUCCCCCUGCCUGGCAUAUUCUUCCCCCAGGUACCUGCAUGACUGACUCUCUCACCUCUAAGUUUUUGUCACCUGUCACCUUCUCAGCGAGGCUACUGACUAUUUAAAAGUCAGAAGCCCAACCAGUCCCCAGUUUUUGGCACUCCUAAUGUCUGUUUUCCUGCUCUAUUCUCUGACAAUGUAGUACUUACUGCCUUACACAUGCUAUAGGAUUUACUUACUUAUUAGACUAGUUGUUUAUCGCCAGCUCCUCCACUGUAAUGUAAACUACUUGAGGGCAGGGAUUGUUGUCCCAGUUGUAUGCUGGUGAACCUCGAGUGCUUACAACAGGGACCAUACCAGACACUCAAUAAAUAUUUGGCGUUGAACUGAAUCUUGAAAGAUAAGUAGGAUAAUCACAAGAAAAAAAAAAACGCAUGAAUCUUAGUUUUCUCAGUCAUUAGAUGAGGAGUUUGGUAUGAUUCAUUAGCUCUAAGACAUUUUCAGAAGCCUCUUUUGGCAGCCUGAGGGUGCAUACUUGGGCCACUUGUGUUAUUGCAAAUUUGAACCUCACUUGGAACACUUGCCUCAUCCCUAAGUGGCCCUUGGGUUAAAAAUAAGCCAGAUCACGUACGCUGGAGCCUUGAACAUGGAAAAACCUUAUAGACCUGGUAGAGACCAGAGAAAUCUCUUUGUCUUAGCAGAAGGGACCUCUGGCCAGAGGGAAGAGUAGCACUGCUGAAGAGGAGACAGGGGUAUAAAAUUUAGAUCCCUCUCAGAAAGCCAGUGUGUCUCUGGCUUGAGACUUUGUAUUUCCCCCCGGGGCACAUUGUUUCACUGGGACAUUUUGGUUGACUUGAUAAUAAAUAGCCAGCUUGGAGGUGAUGUUUACAUGUGGAUUUACUGGUUGAAUAGUCAACAUCAUGAGUUAAUUGAUAAACAGGGGUGUUUUUUGAAUGAGAGUUAAUUGAUAAACAGGGGUGUCUUUUGAAUGAUACAUUAACUGCCACUGUUGAGUUCACUCUUAAGUGCUUGCCAAAGGAAACAAUGUUAAUUACCAUUUACAGUAUUAUUCUUUUAUUGGUUGUAAGUUCAUUUAAAGUAUGGAAAUGGGAUUAGUUUCCUCUACAACUCCAGGACCCUAAGUAACAACAGCCCAGUCAUUUUACAUCCUCAAGUUUCCAUCAAAGGUAUAGAUUUGCCACAAUUAAUAUGAAACAUUCAACUCAAUACGUCCUUGAAGAACUGACCCUGAAGAACGUGGAUGGGCCAGUUGCCCCACCAGCCACAAGCCCACACCCUGCGUCUCAGUCUAACUGCCAGAG
rnacentral:lncRNA from 9 species